AGGGCUGUAGCUCAGCAGAAGAGCAUUUGCUUUGCACACAGAAGUCCCUGGGUUUGAUCCCUGGCAGCUCCA